ACGAACGCUGGCGGCGCGCUUAACCCAUGCAAGUCGAACGGAAAGGCCCUGCUUUUGUGGGGUGCUCGAGUGGCGAACGGGUGAGUAACACGUGAGUAACCUGCCCUUGACUUUGGGAUAACUUCAGGAAACUGGGGCUAAUACCGGAUAGGAGCUCCUGCUGCAUGGUGGGGGUUGGAAAGUUUCGGCGGUUGGGGAUGGACUCGCGGCUUAUCAGCUUGUUGGUGGGGUAGUGGCUUACCAAGGCUUUGACGGGUAGCCGGCCUGAGAGGGUGACCGGCCACAUUGGGACUGAGAUACGGCCCAGACUCCUACGGGAGGCAGCAGUGGGGAAUAUUGCACAAUGGGCGGAAGCCUGAUGCAGCAACGCCGCGUGCGGGAUGACGGCCUUCGGGUUGUAAACCGCUUUCGCCUGUGACGAAGCGUGAGUGACGGUAAUGGGUAAAGAAGCACCGGCUAACUACGUG
rnacentral:rRNA from 1 species